rnacentral:rRNA from 1 species
CAUAUCAAUAAGCGGAGGAAAAGAAACCAACAGGGAUUGCCCUAGUAACGGCGAGUGAAGCGGCAACAGCUCAAAUUUGAAAUCUGGCGUCUUUGGCGUCCGAGUUGUAAUUUGCAGAGGGCGCUUUGGCAUUGGCAGCGGUCCAAGUUCCUUGGAACAGGACGUCACAGAGGGUGAGAAUCCCGUACGUGGUCGCUAGCCUUUACCGUGUAAAGCCCCUUCGACGAGUCGAGUUGUUUGGGAAUGCAGCUCUAAAUGGGAGGUAAAUUUCUUCUAAAGCUAAAUACUGGCCAGAGACCGAUAGCGCACAAGUAGAGUGAUCGAAAGAUGAAAAGCACUUUGGAAAGAGAGUUAAAAAGCACGUGAAAUUGUUGAAAGGGAAGCGCUUGCAGCCAGACUUGCCUGUAGUUGCUCAUCCGGGUUUCUACCCGGUGCACUCUUCUAUAGGCAGGCCAGCAUCAGUUUGGGCGGUUGGAUAAAGGUCUCUGUCAUGUACCUCCUUUCGGGGAGAACUUAUAGGGGAGACGACAUGCAACCAGCCUGGACUGAGGUCCGCGCAUCUGCUAGGAUGCUGGCGUAAUGGCUGUAAGCGGCCCGUCUUGAAACACGGACCAAGGAGUCUAACAUCUAUGCGAGUGUUUGGGUGUCAAGCCCGAGCGCGUAAUGAAAGUGAACGGAGGUGGGAACCUUUCGGGGUGCACCAUCGACCGAUCCUGAUGUCUUCGGAUGGAUUUGAGUAAGAGCAUAGCUGUUGGGACCCGAAAGAUGGUGAACUAUGCUUGAAUAGGGUGAAGCCAGAGGAAACUCUGGUGGAGGCUCGCAGCGGUUCUGACGUGCAAAUCGAUCGUCAAAUUUGGGCAUAGGGGCGAAAGACUAAUCGAACUAUCUAGUAGCUGGUUCCUGCCG